AUGAUCAUUCUCAAGAAUUGGUCUCAUUAUUCAGAGAAUCUAUUCAAAAAAAAAUCUUUCAAAUGAUUUGGAAGAAGAUACUUCUUCAACAUUAUUGGAUAAUUUAUUAGAAGAUUCGGCAUGCUAUUUUGAUUGUUCAAGUAAUUUAUCAACCCAUUUAGAUCAAGAACAAGGACUCUCACAUGAAUCUGUAACUGAUGUGUUUAAAUUACAUCGAGAAAGAAAGAAAAAGUGUUUUUCAUGCGAAAUGUGUGAUUUGCACCGUAAAUAUUUGAAGGAGAUAAAAAAAUGUGGAACUUGUAAACAUUGCAGGAAUAAAUAUCUUAAAAAAUCUUGCAAAAAAGUUAUCUGUAGGAAAUACAACUUAUAACCUCUGGAUGGAAUUAAUGUACAUAUUAUGGAAUUACAUUCUGUCAAAAAAGUACCGGAAAUUAUUAUUGAUAGGAUACAUUUAAAAGAAACUGUCGAGUAUGACAAGAAUUUGGGGCUUGGUUUUGAAUUUGUUGAUUACGGCGGACAAUGUGAUUUGGGGGUACGGGGAAGAGAAAGAAAACGAGGGUUUGGUUUGUAUGCUUGUUGAUUAUCGAGCUUAUUGGAAACUGCCAAUCGCUUAUUUUCUUUGCAAGGGCAUGCAAUCAGGUGUUCUUGCUGGAAUAAUACGUGAAUUUUGUUUUAUGUGCAAUUGAAAUUGGUAUUAUUGUCUGAUCUGUUACAAUGGAUUGAUGAAGAGUUAAUUAAUAUUUCUGCUUUGACUUCGCUUGGAGUUAAUAUUUUAACGAAGUCUAUUCAUGAGCAGUCGAUGACUUUUUCUCAUCUACAUGAGGAUUGCAAUAGUAAUGUAGUUGCUAUUGUCGAUGUGCCUCAUUGCUUUCAAAAUAUACGUGGUGCUUUAGCACACCUCAA
rnacentral:lncRNA from 1 species